AUCAAUCUUAAUAAGAUUUAACGGCAUGUCUUAAAUGUGCCAACUACUACGAUCUUUAAAUGGCCAUUUAAGUUUAACAGAAAGUAAAUGGCCAAGUCAACGAAACUUGUUUAUUUUUUCAAAAAGUCAAACCAAGCUUUACGAUUUAAAUGACAUUUCGAAAGUUCGUGCUUUUUUCGUCCCAAAUUUGAAAGUUCGCGAUUUUUUUGAUAUUUUUCUCCAUAUAAUAUGUUUAUCUUCGGAGAAAAGCUUUAUGAAACUGCAUUUAAUAGGUUUACUGAAUUCACUUUAUGUAAAGUUUGCCUAUUGUAUGUACUCUGACUCAAUCCCAAAUAACUCAGCAG
rnacentral:sRNA from 1 species